rnacentral:rRNA from 1 species
UACGAAAGGAGCAAGUGUUAUUCAGAUUAACUGGGCGUAAAGGGCGCGUAGGCGGCGGUCACAGUCAGAUGUGAAAUUCCUGGGCUUAACCUGGGGGCUGCAUUUGAUACGUGGUUGCUUGAGUGGGGAAGAGGGUCGUGGAAUUCCCAGUGUAGAGGUGAAAUUCGUAGAUAUUGGGAAGAACACCGGUGGCGAAGGCGGCGACCUGGUCCUUGACUGACGCUGAGGCGCGAAAGCGUGGGGAGCAAACAGG